CCCCUCUGAGAGUUGAGCCUGGAGAGUUUCCAGUACUCUACCAGUCUCAACCACAGGAGGGAGAGUCAAGCAGAGGCCUACCCUUUCCAUUCCUAGCUGGGGCAGUGGCUAGUGAGUGGAAAGCAAUCUGCUUCAAGU